AGAGUUGUAGUGUAGUGGUUAUCACGUCUGCCUCACACGCAGAAGGUCUUGGGUUCGAACCCCAAUAGCUCUA